rnacentral:rRNA from 1 species
CAGUAGCCGCGGGAAUACGGAGGGGGCUAGCGUUGUUCGGAAUUACUGGGCGUAAAGCGCACGUAGGCGGCUUUGUAAGUUAGAGGUGAAAGCCUGGGGCUCAACUCCAGAAUUGCCUUUAAGACUGCAUCGCUCGAACGUCGGAGAGGUGAGUGGAAUUCCGAGUGUAGAGGUGAAAUUCGUAGAUAUUCGGAAGAACACCAGUGGCGAAGGCGGCUCACUGGACGACUGUUGACGCUGAGGUGCGAAAGCGUGGGGAGCAAACAGGAUUAGAUACCCCGGUAGUCCCUGUCUCUUAUAC